UGGGGAUGUAGCCCGUGGCACCGGAGCUCAGCGACCGCGCCUCCCACCAGUCACCCUCGGUGUUGUUGAUGAUGUGGAAUUUCUCCCCUUUCUGGAAGCUCAGAUCGUCCUCCGUCCUGGCCUCGUAGUCAUACAGGGCGAUGAAGAGCGUCACACCCCCACCUGUGAUGCUGCUGUGCGCCUGCAGUGUGUUGCAGGGGUAGAAGCCCGGCCCUGAGAAGGGCACAGGGGGGGACACGGCCGCAGCGUGGAAGUUGUUGAAGUCGGGGAUGUGGGUGAAGGCACCGCUGAGCUGCGUGGGGUCGGGGUCGUACUGCGAGGGGGGGUGUGCAGGGGUCCCCGUGCCGCUCCCCCCCUGCCCCUUGCCGGAUAUCUUCUCCUUGCAGUGCACACAGCCCAUCCUGGCACGGCUGUGACAGCUCCUCGGGUCACUUCAGCUGCUCCAUGUCAGCGUGGGGAGGAGAGGCACCGUCAGCCCUCUUCGCAUGGAGCCCCCCCGGGGCUGCACCCCGACCCCCCCCACCGGGGCCGGGCACAGCGCUGCGGGGCACAGUGCGGGGAGAGGCGGAGCGGUGCGUGCGGUUCCCCCGUUGCCUCUGAGCGGCUCUAUC
rnacentral:lncRNA from 1 species